CUUGGUCAUUUAGAGGAAGUAAAAGUCGUAACAAGGUAACCGUAGGUGAACCUGCGGUUGGAUCAUUAAUAAAUUCUAGAGCAGAGCUGAUCGAGCAAUCGUGAUGCCUCUGUUUCUUAACAAUUUGUGAAUCGUUUAUUGUCUCUUGUGGUUGAUGCACUUCUUGCGCGCUUUACGGCCGCCUGACGUCUCUCCACACGUGAAUCUUAACAUUGUAAUAUAACCAUUUGUCUUGAAACUUUAAACCUAAAAAAUUUAAAAACAACUUUUGACAACGGAUCUCUAGGCUCUCGCAACGAUGAAGAACGCAGCGAAAUGCGAUAAGUAAUGUGAAUUGCAGAUUCCGUGAAUCAUUAAAUCUUUGAACGCACAUUGCGCCCUUUGGUAUUCCUCAGGGCAUGUCUGUUUGAGAAUCAGUUUAAACAUCAAGCCUUGGCUCUUGGGAAACCUAGAGUCACUUGGCUUGGACAUGAGUUGUGUUUGCGCAAGCUGACCUACUUUAAAUGCAUUUGUGGCCUCAAUAGUUGCUCACGAGUAUACGGAAGGCAUGACCAUUGAACGCAAGUUCUUAAUGAUUGCUGAUAAAGUAGCCUUGCUUGACAACUCUUGUAGAUCCAGAAUUUUAAACACAAAGUGCGGCUAAACCCCAAUCUUUAAGACUUGAUCUCAAAUCAGACAAGACUACCCGCUGAACUUAAGCAUAUCAAUAAGCGGAGGA
rnacentral:rRNA from 1 species